UUGAACUCCCUAAUGCUGGUCCUUUUGUUAUGGUUGAAGUGUGACUCUUCAGAGAAAACAGUAAUGCAUCACUUAAGUGUUUUUAUAGUAGCACUGUUGCUUCAACUGAGGGGGGUGAGCAGCCAGCAGAAGGUGCAGCAGAACCCAGAAAUCCUCAGUGUCACAGAGGAAGCUCUGGCCUCUCUCAACUGUACUUCCAGUGAUCCUAAUUAUGAUUACUUCUGGUGGUACAGACAGUAUCCUGGGAAAAGUCCUGAGUUGCUCAUGUCUAUCUUCUCCAAUGGUGAAAAGAAAGAAGGCAGAUUCACCAUUAAUCUCAAUAAAGCCAGCCUGCAUGUUUCCCUGCACAUCAGAGACUCCCAGCCCAGUGACUCAGCUGUCUACCUGUGUGCAGUGAGCACACAGUGCUCCCCAGACACCUGCAGUCUAUACCCAAACCCAAUGGGCCCCAGCAAGGUCUGGACUAGUGUGCAGAAAACAGGAUGGAGAAAUUCUGAUUAUUCUCCUUGUACUCCAUACCUAGUAGGAAUUAGAGCCACAGGAAGGAGGAGUUGACUCACAGGGAAAAUACUUUAUUAUUUCUGAGAAUGCAUGAAACACAUAUUGUUGUGGUUAAAAUAUUCUUCACUUUAUUUAACUGAAGAAAAUCAUUCAUUAUAUUUUAAUUAAGGUUUCUGUCUCCCAUUUCCUUCCAGAUUCUCCCCAACCUCCCUACACAAAUAUCAUAACUGCUUUCUCUUUUAUCUCUCCCUUUAAUAUAUAAAUAGGCAAAAAACAAAAGAAAGAAAAGGCACAAAGAAAUAUACAUACAGAGACAUAUUGUUGUUAGAGUUUCAAAGCAGAAGGAAUGAUA